UACGUAGGGGGCUAGCGUUGUCCGGAAUCAUUGGGCGUAAAGCGCGUGUAGGCGGUCCGGUAAGUCCGCUGUGAAAGUCGGGGGCUCAACCCUCGAAUGCCGGUGGAUACUGUCGGGCUAGAGUGCGGAAGAGGCGAGUGGAAUUCCUGGUGUAGCGGUGAAAUGCGCAGAUAUCAGGAGGAACACCUAUUGCGAAGGCAGCUCGCUGGGACGUAACUGACGCUGAGACGCGAAAGCGUGGGGAGCGAACAGG
rnacentral:rRNA from 1 species